AGAGUUUGAUCAUGGCUCAGGAUGAACGCUAGCGGCAGGCUUAAUACAUGCAAGUCGAGGGGCAGCGGGGUAGCAAUACUGCCGGCGACCGGCAAACGGGUGCGGAACACGUACACAACCUUCCUUUCGGUGGGGGAUAGCCCAGAGAAAUUUGGAUUAAUACCCCAUAAAAUAUUUUGAUUGCAUAAUUGGGAUAUUAAAGAUUUAUUGCCGGAAGAUGGGUGUGCGUAUGAUUAGGUAGUUGGUUGAGGUAACGGCUCACCAAGCCUUCGAUCAUUAACUGGUGUGAGAGCACGACCAGUCACACGGGCACUGAGACACGGGCCCGACUCCUACGGGAGGCAGCAGUAAGGAAUAUUGGUCAAUGGACGCAAGUCUGAACCAGCCAUGCCGCGUGAAGGAUGACGGCCCUCUGGGUUGUAAACUUCUUUUAUGUGGGACGAAAAAAGGGAAUUAUUUCCCGUCUGACGGUACCAUAUGAAUAAGCACCGGCUAACUCCGUGCCAGCAGCCGCGGUAAUACGGAGGGUGCAAGCGUUAUCCGGAUUCACUGGGUUUAAAGGGAGCGCAGGCGGAUUGGUAAGUCAGUGGUGAAAGGCUUGAGCUUAACUCGGGAACUGCCAUUGAUACUAUCAGUCUUGAAUAUUGUUGAGGUUUGCGGAAUGGGUCAUGUAGCGGUGAAAUGCAUAGAUAUGACCCGGAACACCUAUUGCGAAGGCAGCAGGCUAAACAAAGAUUGACGCUGAGGCUCGAAAGCGUGGGGAUCAAACAGGAUUAGAUACCCUAGUAGUCC
rnacentral:rRNA from 1 species